CGUACUUCCGGCCAGUGAGCUUUAAAAGCCGAGGGUGUGGUUGGGAGGGGCAGUGUGGUGUCUUCCGUCUGACCUUUGGUUCUGAAAUUUUCAAACCUGCAUUGACUACAGGACUAAGAUUUUAUGAUGGAAAAUAUCUCUGUAAAAGCAGAGCCUCAGAUUUUUGAAGAUGUGGCUAUGUACUUCACAGAGCAGGAACUAGCCAGCUUGACACUUGAUCAGAAGGCCCUGUACAAGGAUGUGGUGCUUGAGAACUUUGCACAUGUGGCUUUUCUGGGGUACAUCUCAAAACUAAAAAAAUACGCUCAGCUGGCCGAAGCAGAGGCAUCCAGGGUGAAGGCGUUCCUCUAAGUCAGGUGUGCGGGAGACAGGGAUAAAGGAAGGGGAUGUCAGAGCCGUGUCACUGCUGUCAAGUGCAGGUUUUUCUGUAGCCAUGCACAUUUCCAUCCAAGUAGAUGCAAUGCUUUUAGUUCAUUAAAGUUGUUCAUUAUGAAGUGCAAA